AUGGGCAGGACUUUGAGGUUGAGUCGCGAGGGAUUGUUGGUGAUGAUGAGCUGCGUGGGCUUGUUGCUGUUGCAGUGCUGUAGUGCGGCUGACGGGACACUAAGCAACCUGUACUGUGGCUGUGCAACUGCAGCAGACUGCGCUGCGGUCACGCUGGUUGACGACUGGACAGCUGCUUUGACCUUGAGGCUGGCCGUCGCCGCGGGCUGGCAGCGCAGGGCGGACGUCUUGGCCAGCGUGUGGCUGUGGCCGUCGGAUUUGAUGAUGAUGGGCGUCUUGUUGGAGAGGACGCCCACGGGCAGAUUCAGCGACAACGUGGGCAUGUUGGCGCGCGCGAUCUGGAUGGAGGAUGUGGAGGGGGAUUUGAGUUUGCUCUCAGUGGCGAUUACAGUGGCCAUUCUCUCCAGCUACACUGCUCAUACUCUCCUACGCGGAAGGAAACAAAGAGUCAGAUAGAUCAGCGAUUGAUAACAGCUGCUGCACGAUAGAUAACAGCUACUCAAUGCCACACCAGCAACAGUUGCGAAAUCACUGGCACACACAACUAAUUUGCCAACUCGACGCCGGUUGUCUGCGUUUCAACUUGAAGCAGGCAGUACAGCGCUAUCCGGCUAUCGCUAUCAGAUACGUUUUUCCUACGCUGCAGUCGACUGUAUGGCUAUGCUGGCAAACGUGCGUGCAAUCUGCAAAAAGCUGCAGUCUGGUCUUCUGCCAAGUCGAGCUGUUUCGCCGAAUGCGGAUUCACCACUCGAUGUCGCAAUCACGCCGGUUCUGCCUGUGCGCUGUGUGUGCAGGCGAAAACACGUACGAAUACGCUGCAGUGGCUGCACACAGCAGCAAGCCACGGCACGAUUCCAGGAAACAAUCCAACUCGGCGAAAGUAUGCAAGCUCAACUAAGCGGAGAAACCGGUUUGCAACAAAGUUUGCUUGAAAUGUACAGUAUACUACUCGACUGAGCCGCGCUCUUGUGAAUGGCCAUUGUCCUGUCUAGUGUCCCUCGCUUUAAUAUCGCGCGCAAAUCGCCUAUCAGUGCGAUCUAUAGCCCGGAUUAGUCAGCGAUGCACGGCGAUCGCGAGGAUGUGGGCUGUUUAGUCUGGGCCGAGCGUGAGAACGCCGGCGCGGAAAGGAACCCGGAAGGGAGUUGUGUCUCUGCUCUGCGCUACUCGCUGCUGACUCGUCAAGGGCAAAAAGAUCACCCCGACCAACACAACCCGAUCGAUGAAUAAAUCAUCAGCCACACAAAAACUCACUGCAUUCCCCAGACACCAGGCCGCGCGUAGCCUCUCGUGGCAGCGCUUUGACGAAAAAUCAAUCGACCGUCAACUUUUUGCAACCUACUACACAUUGUGCAUCUGCGUACGCGCGUAAACAGGUGUUCGCUGGAGUAGUACUACUCACGCACACCGCGCCAACGUACGGUUGCCGUGGCAACAAACGGCCAAGCAAAGGACAAGGACUCGCAGCCAAUUCCCCUGUCAAUAAUCGUCCGCACACGCUGCACUUUCCGCCAGAUAAGUGAGAAGACAACUCUACUCUGCUUCCUCCAUUCCAGGGGCGCGCUGCACUUGAGCGCGCUACGCAACCCCGUUCAGGUUGCUCAUCCCCGUUGCACGGAAACCGUCGCCUUGCGCUGGCAAGGCAGCCAGAGCGUUUACCCGCAAAAAUGACUGACAGCAUUACUUUCAUUCCUAUUCAAACGGCUCUCUUCAAAUCAUUUCAAUACCAACAAUCAAUGUGAUUUUGCCUUUGUUUCACAUUUCCAACUGAUUUCAGCCAUGAGCAAACA